GUGCCUAACACAUGCAAGUCGAACGGGAAAACAGGGGCAACUCUGUGAGUACAGUGGCGUACGGGUGAGUAACACGUGACUACCUACCCUCGAGUGGGGGAUAACCCCGGGAAACCGGGGCUAAUACCGCAUAACAUCGCAAGAUCAAAGGAGUAAUCCGCUUGAGGAGGGGGUCGCGGCUGAUUAGCUAGUUGGUGAGGUAAUGGCUCACCAAGGCGAUGAUCGGUAGCCGGCCUGAGAGGGCGCACGGCCACACUGGAACUGAAACACGGUCCAG
rnacentral:rRNA from 1 species